rnacentral:rRNA from 1 species
GACAGAGGGUGCAAACGUUGUUCGGAAUUACUGGGCGUAAAGCGCGUGUAGGCUGCUCGGAAAGUCGGGUGUGAAAGCCCUGGGCUCAACCUAGGAAGUGCACUCGAAACUUCCGAGCUGGAGUUUCGGAGAGGAAGGCGGAAUUCUCGGUGUAGAGGUGAAAUUCGUAGAUAUCGAGAGGAACAUCGGUGGCGAAGGCGGCCUUACUGGACGAUGCUGACGCUGAGACGACGA